GAAAAAGUUACUUCAUGAAGGAAUACCGAGAUAGUAAAAGCACCCCACUAUUCGGGUACCGAGCUUGACACCUCAAUAAAUAAGUUCAACAAAAGAUCAACUCUCUAAAUACAAAAACAGCUCGACCUCAGAAUGGUCAAACACAAUAUGACAUAUAUCCAAACAAAAGAAAUCAAUAUAUGCUUGAGUACAAAAUUAGCCCGACCUUACGAUUCCUAAGCGUAAUGCAACAUGUAUUCAAGUACUAAAGAAGCCCGAUACACCGGAGUACUAAAGGAGCCCUAGCCUUACAAAGCCUGAGUGUAGUGUAGUAUGUAUCCGAGUACUAAAGAAGCCUUACUUUACAGUGCAACAUACACCUGAGUACUAAAGGAGUCCCGACCUUACCAUGCCCAAGUGUAGUGCGACAUGUAUUUGAGUACUAAAGAAGCCUAACCUUAAAGUUUGACAUGCAUUCAAGCAUAAGAGAAGCCCGAC
rnacentral:lncRNA from 1 species